ACGGGAGGCAGCAGUGGGGGAUAUUGCACAAUGGGGGAAACCCUGAUGCAGCAACGCCGCGUGAGGGAAGAAGGUUUUCGGAUUGUAAACCUCUGUCCUCGGUGAAGAUAAUGACGGUAGCCGAGGAGGAAGCUCCGGCUAACUACGUGCCAGCAGCCGCGGUAAUACGUAGGGAGCGAGCGUUGUCCGGAAUUACUGGGUGUAAAGGGUGCGUAGGCGGGUAAACAAGUCAGGCGUGAAAAUCAGAGGCUUAACUUCUGAACUGCGCUUGAAACUGUAUAUCUUGAGUGAAGCAGAGGUAGGCGGAAUUCCCGGUGUAGCGGUGAAAUGCGUAGAGAUCGGGAGGAACACCAGUGGCGAAGGCGGCCUACUGGGCUUUAACUGACGCUGAGGCACGAAAGCGUGGGUAGCAAACAGGAUUAGAUACCCUGGUA
rnacentral:rRNA from 1 species